rnacentral:lncRNA from 1 species
UUUCAGUGGCUUUGAAACAAAUGUCCAACCACAUUUCUUGAUUUUCCUGCACAGAUGCCAGAAAGCCAUUGGAAAAGAAAUUGAACCCGUCAGUAUGAAAGUGAUUCAUUUGUAUUCACUGCCUCCCUGAGUUUGUGGACUUUGCAGUAAGCACCAAGGAAGGAGCACCAUGGAGGAAGAUAGAGAAGAACAGAGAAAUGCGAAUCCAUGCAUUGUGACAUGCCUUGAGAGACAUGGUGGAGAAGGAAAGUCCCACAAUCCUGAAGUUCUUGAGUGUUGGGCUCUUAUCGUAUCACACACCGCAUUGAAGAUCUUGAGGUGCUUCCACCACUGCUCACGUGGGUCCAUUCUUCAUGUGAUUCACACCCGCUGAUCCUUCUACUCAAUAACCACCAUGAUGGGGCCUGCAAUACCUCUUAGACCGUGUAAGCAACCUCUAGAACCCUGCACCUUACAUCUUUCUAUUAAUCUUCUUUUGAUCUCAGGAACAUCCCCCCCCCACCAUUUCAUUUUGAACAUCAAGAGGAAGAG